GAUGAACGCUGGCGGCGUGCUUAACACAUGCAAGUCGAACGAUGAAGCCCAGCUUGCUGGGUGGAUUAGGGGCGAACGGGUGAGUAACACUUGAGUAACCUGCCCUUACCCCGGGAUUAAGCCGGGGAACCGGGUCCAAUAACGGAUAAGAGCGUUCCCCGCCUGGGGGGGUUUUGGAAGGUUUUACCGGUUUUGGAUGGACUCGCGGCCUAUCAGCUUGUUGGUGAGGUAAUGGCUCACCAAGGCGACGACGGGUAGCCGGCCUGAGAGGGUGACCGGCCACACUGGGACUGAGACACGGCCCAGACUCCUACGGGAGGCAGCAGUGGGGAAUAUUGCACAAUGGGCGCAAGCCUGAUGCAGCGACGCCGCGUGAGGGAUGACGGCCUUCGGGUUGUAAACCUCUUUCAGUAGGGAAGAAGCGAAAGUGACGGUACCUGCAGAAGAAGCACCGGCUAACUACGUG
rnacentral:rRNA from 1 species